GCCAUGUUGGCCAGGCUGGUCUCAAACUCCUGACCUCAAGUGAUCCGCCCGCCUCACCGUCCCCAAGUGCCGGGAUUACAGGUGUGAGCCACUGCGGCCAGCCCAUCUUAGCCAUUUUAAAGUGUGCAGUUCAGUGGUAUUAGGUACACUCACACUGCUCUACAGCCUUCAGCACCCUCCACCUCCAGAACUUCUCAUCUUCCCAGACGGAAGCUCAGCUCCUGUUGGACACAGACGCCUCAGCCCCGUUCCCCAGCCCCUGGCAGCACUGUUCUGCUUUCCAUCUCUAUGAGUGUGACUCCUCUAGGGACCCCGUAUAAAUGGAAUCAUGCAGGAUUUGUCCUUUUGGGCCUGGCUUAUUUCACUGACCCUAAUGUCCUCAAGGUUCCUCCAUAUGGUAGCAGGUGUGACAAUUCCCUUCCUGUUAAGGCUGAAGAAUAGUCCACUGUGUGGAUGUGGCACAGGAUUUUCUCGGUGCCACUUCACCAGCCGGAGACCUCCGUGGUCGCUGGCGCCCCUGCCUGGCCUCACUGGGCCCAAGGCUCGCUGCUGGAGGUACUCCACACACACAGCCCAGUGGGCUGUGCUUGGCUUGCACCUCAGCCCAGAUCCCACGCUUGCCACAGGUACGCUCAGUCGGUGAUUGGGCCAGGCGUGCGACGACAUGCUUCUGCCCUGGGCAUCAGUGUCUGGGUGAGGGGAAUGUGGCGGUGCCCAAAAACCCAGACACACCAGGAACUGCAGAGCCCCAAGGGUCUCACAGCUCAACUGUUCCCGCCACCCGUGGCUCGGCGAUCAGGGCAUGUUACAGCCCUGGUUCAGGGAGUCGGAGGUCUGGGCUCUUGGGAAACACUGCAGCUUUCCCGCUUCCCACAACUUCAGUAAACAGGGGUGUGUGGCACCCAGCGGCUUUUCCCCCACUGCUCAGCAAGCAGGAGGGAGGGUUAUGGUGUUACAGCCCUUUUUUGCACCCACUGUUCUGCAGGUCCAAGUUCUUGUCCCACAUCCAGAAGAAUGAACUUAUGCAGACAACCGGAGAGUGAGCAGGGCAGAAACAACUUUCAUUGCAUGAGGGACCGGCUCCCAGUGUUGAGGGGACCUGAGAAUGGGCAUCUGCUACCUGAAGGUGAGUAGUCUCCACCCAAAGGUGGUAGCCCCGCUGUGUGGCUGAGUCCAGGGUUUUUAUGGGCUCAGAAUGGGGGAGUGUGUGCUGAUUGGUCCAUGCGUGGGCCUAGAAAAAUCCCCAUUUGAUUGGCUAAAAGGUCAUGGACUUCACCUGGAACUGGCAGCCCGGUUUUCCAGCUUCAGGCUGUCUUUGACUUGAAGGUCAGUUUCACUGGGGACCUGCCCCAGUCUGCCUAGAAUCUGUCUUCUGCCACUCUCAGAGGAACCACGCUUCGCGUAUCCAGUCGCCAUUCACAGGACCCUGCGUUGUCUUUGCCUCUCGGGCUUCGUGAAGAAUGCUGCUGCGGACAGGGGAGUGCCCCUGCCUGUUUGUGUCCCUGCUUUCCAUUUCUUUGGGAGGUAGUGGAGGGGAGAUUGCGGGGUCCUGUGGUCAUUCUGUGUUUGGCUCUCGGAGGAGCAGCCAUCCUGUUUUCCAUAGCAGCUCUGCCAUCAAAUGGCACUUUCUUAGUGAGGCCUCCCGGAUCUCUCCCCGAAAAUAUUGCAACUCCUGGCUCACUUUCCUUCUUCCUGUAACUUAUCACUGUGGAGCUAUCAGAUGUGCCCGCGCCCAGGAGAGCCAGCAGUGAGCCCCCUUGCCCUCUCCGUGGUCAGUGUCUUCAUACGGGGAGUUUGGAGGUGGCUGUGGUGGGAGGACUCACUCCGCAGAAAUCAGCCAGUGCUGCAGGUCAGGGGCCGCCAUCCCCCAGAGCUGCUGGGAAACAUUUACCAGCACACCGGCGGCCUGCUUUCAACGUCUUUCAUUUGUAUGUAUUUUGGUCUGUUUCUCUACCUAGAAAGUGAACUCCCUGUGGCAGAAGUUUAGUCUCUCUGCUCGCUUCUUGGUUCCCAGCUCCUGGAACAGAACCAGACUUCUAGCCAGGGCUCAGGCAACGCUUGCAGGAUGUUUGUUGGCACCAGGGUGUGCCAGGAGAGAUACACAAAUCCUUAGCGUUGUGUGACAAUUGCCUGCAGGAUUGAGAGCAGUGACCCGCUGGACGGGUUUACAGCCCAGAAGCCAUAGGCUGUACCACAAGGCCUGGGUGUGUAGUGGGCUGUACCAUCUAGGGGUGUGAAAUCACCAAGGACACCUUCCUUAGAACCCAUCCCCGUCAAGGGAUGUGAGGCUGAGUAACCGGGCCGCGUGGGAGUUCAGCACUGAGCAUGUUUCAGUGAGUGACUGAAAUAAUGAGCGUUCCGAUCGGGCCCUCUCUGGCUGGCACCUGUGAACCACUCGCUUUGCGCCCAUUAUUUCUUGUUGCCACAACAUCAUUAUAAACUGCUGAUCGCUGUUUCUUUGUCAAACGGGAGGAGAUAACGUCAGGGUCAUGAGAAAUGUUUGCAGAGGGAGCGAGUGCCUCGAAAGUGCUGAGACCAGGCGCUAACACCCGGAGGUCCGGUCGCUUGCGGGGUUAGCCGACACGGAAUAAGCGCGGACUUUCCCUGCAUCCCCGAAACUCCCCCUCCCUGGCUCGUCAGCGGCAUCAGAACUCUCUCCUCAUCUCUGUCAAGGCGGAUGUGAGAAAUCUUGCUCUCUUGUCUUCUUGCUUUGGCCAAAUGGAAUAAACCUUUCUCUGUCUCCAGACAGCU